rnacentral:rRNA from 1 species
AGAAUCAACGCUGGCGGCGUGCCUAACACAUGCAAGUCGAACGAGAAGGUGGAGCAAUCCAUGAGUAAAGUGGCGACCGGGUGAGUAACACGUGACUAACCUACCUUCGAGUGGGGGAUAACCUCGGGAAAACCGAGGCUAAUACCGCAUAACAUCGUGAGAUCAAAGCAGUAAUGCGCUGGAAGAGGGGGUCGCGGCUGAUUAGCUAGUUGGCGGGUAAUGGCCCACAAGGCGAAGAUCGGUA